GGGCGAUUAGCUCAGUUGGUAGAGCAUCUCCCUUACAAGGAGGGGGUCACUGGUUCGAGCCCGGUAUCGCCCA
rfam:Morganella morganii subsp. morganii KT, complete genome.